CUACCCGCUGAACUUAAGCAUAUCAAUAAGCGGAGGAAAAGAAACUAACAAGGAUUCCCCUAGUAACUGCGAGNGAAGCGGGAAAAGCUCAAAUUUUGAAUCUGGCGGUCAUCUAGGCCGUCCGAAUUGUAAUCUAGAGAAGUNUCUUCCGCGCUGGCCCGUGUACAAGUCUCCNGGAAGGGAGCAUCAUAGAGGGUGAGAAUCCCGUCUUUGACACGGACUACCAGGGCUAUGUGAUGCACUCUCGACGAGUCGAGUUGUUUGGGAAUGCAGCUCAAAAUGGGUGGUAAAUUCCAUCUAAAGCUAAAUACAGGCGAGAAACCGAUAGUGAACAAGUACCGUGAGGGAAAGAUCAAAAGAACUUUGAAAAGAGAGUUAAACAGUACGUGAAAUUGCUGAAAGGGAAACGCUUGAUGUCAGUCGCGUUAAUUAGGGAUCAGCCGUUACCGGUGUACUUCCUAGUUGACGGGUCAGCAUCAGUUUCGGUCGUCGUACAAAGGCAAAGGAAAGUAACUAAACACUAUGGACCCUUGUCGGAUGCGCUGGUCGGGACUGAGGAAACCUCUGCACCUCGUUUGUGUUCAGAGAUGCUGGCAUAAUGGCCUUAAGCGACC
rnacentral:rRNA from 1 species